rnacentral:rRNA from 1 species
GACGAACGCUGGCGGCGUGCUUAACACAUGCAAGUCGAACGAAGUGGCGAACGGGUGAGUAAUACGUGGGUAACCUGCCCUCCUUUUUGGGAUAAGCCUUGGAAACGGGGUCUAAUACCGACUAAAGGGGGAUGGGCUCGCGGCCUAUCAGCUUGUUGGUGGGGUGAUGGCCUACCAGGGCGGUGACGGGUAGCCGGCCGGAGAGGGUGACCGGCCAGAGUGGGAGGGAGAUACGGCCCAGACGCCGACGAGAGGCAGAAGUGGGGGAUAUGGCACAAUCGGGGAAAGCCGGAGGCAGGGAGGCGGAGUGGGGGAUGAAGGCGUACGGGUUGUAAACCUCUUUCGCGAGCGAACGGGUAGGUGGAGAAGAAGCGCCGGCUAACUACGUGCCAGCAGCCGCGGUAAUAC